GACCCGGAGACGGUGUUCCCGCGGGCCCGGUCGCGACGCACGUAAAGGAAUGACUCUCGGCAACGGAUAUCUCGGCUCUUGCAUCGAUGAAGAACGUAGCGAAAUGCGAUACUUGGUGUGAAUUGCAGAAUCCCGUGAACCAUCGAGUCUUUGAACGCAAGUUGCGCCCGAAGCCAUUAGGCCGAGGGCACCCCUGCCUGGGUGUCA
rnacentral:rRNA from 1 species